rnacentral:rRNA from 1 species
UACAUAGGGUGCGAGCGUUGUCCGGAAUUAUUGGGCGUAAAGAGCUCGUAGGCGGUCUGUCGCGUCGGUCGUGAAAACUUGGGGCUUAACCCUGAGCUUGCGGUCGAUACGGGCAUGACUGGAGUUCGGUAGGGGAGACUGGAAUUCCUGGUGUAGCGGUGAAAUGCGCAGAUAUCAGGAGGAACACCGGUGGCGAAGGCGGGUCUCUGGGCCGAUACUGACGCUGAGGAGCGAAGGCGUGGGGAGCGAACAGG